AUUGAACGCUGGCGGCAGGCUUAACACAUGCAAGUCGAGCGGGGUGAUGGUGCUUGCACUAUCACUUAGCGGCGGACGGGUGAGUAAUGCUUAGGAAUCUGCCUAUUAGUGGGGGACAACAUCUCGAAAGGGAUGCUAAUACCGCAUACGUCCUACGGGAGAAAGCAGGGGAUCACUUGUGACCUUGCGCUAAUAGAUGAGCCUAAGUCGGAUUAGCUAGUUGGUGGGGUAAAGGCCUACCAAGGCGACGAUCUGUAGCGGGUCUGAGAGGAUGAUCCGCCACACUGGGACUGGGACACGGCCCGGACUCCUACGGGAGGCAGCAGUGUGGAAUAUUGGACAAUGGGGGGAACCCUGAUCCAGCCAUGCCGCGUGUGUGAAGAAGGCCUUAUGGUUGUAAAGCACUUUAAGCGAGGAGGAGGCUCUUUUGGUUAAUACCCAAGAUGAGUGGACGUUACUCGCAGAAUAAGCACCGGCUAACUCUGUGCCAGCCGCCGCGGUAA
rnacentral:rRNA from 1 species